rnacentral:rRNA from 1 species
UCCGUAGGGUGCGAGCGUUAAUCGGAAUUACUGGGCGUAAAGGGUGCGCAGGCGGCCUAGCAAGUCGAGUGUGAAAGCCCCGGGCUUAACUUGGGAACUGCAUUUGUGACUGCAUCGCUGGAGUGCGGCAGAGGGGGAUGGAAUUCCGCGUGUAGCAGUGAAAUGCGUAGAUAUGCGGAGGAACACCGAUGGCGAAGGCAAUCCCCUGGGCCUGCACUGACGCUCAUGCACGAAAGCGUGGGGAGCAAACAGG